AUGGACCAUUCCAUCCCUUUUUCCCGUGCAUAUGCAUCGGACUCGCAUGACGAUGGUCCCGACGAACAAGUUGAUGCGGAGGGGUUCACGGUGAAGGAGGCCGAAGCUUUUGAGAAGGUAUUCGGUCUCGAUCAUCGGACUACAUUGUUCAAGGAUGUUAGUCUCGCGGAUGAAGCCGUGGUAGAUGGUGGCCAAUGUAUAUCUGUUGGGGUUAGGCCAAGCUCUCACCGUGAUGAGAUGACAAGAAUAGGAUUGCAAAAGGGUCUAAGUUCGAAACAUUCUUGGAAUUGA
rnacentral:rRNA from 1 species